rnacentral:rRNA from 1 species
AUUGAACGCUGGCGGCAUGCCUUACACAUGCAAGUCGAACGGUAACAGGUCUUCGGAUGCUGACGAGUGGCGAACGGGUGAGUAAUACAUCGGAACGUGCCUAGUAGUGGGGGAUAACUACUCGAAAGAGUGGCUAAUACCGCAUGAGAUCUACGGAUGAAAGCAGGGGAUCGCAAGACCUUGUGCUACUAGAGCGGCCGAUGGCAGAUUAGGUAGUUGGUGGGAUAAAAGCUUACCAAGCCGACGAUCUGUAGCUGGUCUGAGAGGACGAUCAGCCACACUGGGACGGGGACACGGCCCAGACUCCUACGGGAAGCAGCAGUGGGGAAUUUUGGACAAUGGGCGAAAGCCUGAUCCAGCAAUGCCGCGUGCAGGAUGAAGGCCUUCGGGUUGUAAACUGCUUUUGUACGGAACGAAAAGCCCCGGGUUAAUACCCUGGGGUCAUGACGGUACCGUAAGAAUAAGCACCGGCUAACUACGUGCCAGCAGCCGCCGUAA